GAAAUGCGAUAAGUAAUGUGAAUUGCAGAAUUCAGUGAAUCAUCGAAUCUUUGAACGCACAUUGCGCCCGCCAGUAUUCUGGCGGGCAUGCCUGUUCGAGCGUCAUUUCAACCAUCAAGCCCCCGGGCUUGUGUUGGGGACCUGCGGCUGCCGCAGGCCCCGAAAACCAGUGGCGGGCUCGCUGUCACACCGGGCGUAGUAGAUUUUUCGUCUCGCCCAGGGCGUGCUGCGGGUUCCGGCCGUUAAAAAGCCUCUCUUUUUAACCCGAGGUUGACCUCGGAUCAGGUAGGAAGACCCGCUGAACUUAAGC
rnacentral:misc_RNA from 1 species